GGCGAGAUGGCCGAGCGGUCUAAGGCGCUGUGUUAAGGUGUAUUCCAUCCGAGCAAUCGGAGUCGGAGCUCCUCCGCAGUCUUCGGACGUGGGUUCGAAUCCCACUCUCGUCA
rfam:Trichosporon asahii var. asahii CBS 8904 unplaced genomic scaffold scaffold00105, whole genome shotgun sequence.